rnacentral:rRNA from 1 species
UACAGAGGGUGCAAGCGUUAAUCGGAAUUACUGGGCGUAAAGCGUGCGUAGACGGUUACAUAAGUCGGGUGUGAAAGCCCCGGGCUCAACCUGGGAAUUGCAUCCGAUACUGAUUGGCUAGAGUAUGAGAGAGGGAGGUAGAAUUCCACGUGUAGCGGUGAAAUGCGUAGAUAUGUGGAGGAAUACCGGUGGCGAAGGCGGCCUCCUGGCUUAAUACUGACGCUGAGGUGCGAAAGCGUGGGGAUCAAACAGG